rnacentral:rRNA from 1 species
CCUACGGGUGGCAGCAGUGAGGAAUAUUGGUCAAUGGGCGAGAGCCUGAACCAGCCAAGUAGCGUGAAGGAUGACUGCCCUACGGGUUGUAAACUUCUUUUAUAAAGGAAUAAAGUGUGGCACGUGUGCCCUUUUGUAUGUACCUUAUGAAUAAGGAUCGGCUAACUCCGUGCCAGCAGCCGCGGUAAUACGGAGGAUCCGAGCGUUAUCCGGAUUUAUUGGGUUUAAAGGGAGCGUAGAUGGGUUGUUAAGUCAGUUGUGAAAGUUUGCGGCUCAACCGUAAAAUUGCAGUUGAUACUGGCAGCCUUGAGUACAGUAGAGGUAGGCGGAAUUCGUGGUGUAGCGGUGAAAUGCUUAGAUAUCACGAAGAACUCCGAUUGCGAAGGCAGCUUACUGGACUGCAACUGACAUUGAUGCUCGAAAGUGUGGGUAUCAAACAGGAUUAGAUACCCGAGUAGUC